AGCUUGGAAGAAGAGGAGGGAAAAGGCCACGUAAUUAAAAGGGUUUUACUUACCAUGAUGCCAACCAGACAUCCCUGAACAGACAACCCAAUUGUUGUUGACACAAUUGAACAACCAAUGUGUCCUGGAACCCCGCUUCCCCAGAGCCCUGCCCCACUAGGGAAAGACAGAGAUAGGCUGGGAGUAGAUAUCAACCUGUCAAUGACCAUGUUUGGCGGGAAAGCAGUUACAGAAGCCAGACCUUCCCCCUUCUCCACCCCAUAAUGACCUUGGGUCCAUACUCCCAGAGGGAUAAAGAAUCGGAAUUCUAUCAGCGGAGGGGAUGAGAUACGGAGUUCUAGUGGUGGGAAUUGUGUAGAGUUGUACCCUUCUUAUCCUAUGGUUUUAUCAAUGUUUCCUUUUUAUAAAUAAAAAAAUUUUAAAGGAGGGAGGGAGUGGGUUUUACUUAGCCAGAAUCAACUGUCUAUCUUUUAUAGCAAUACUAUUUUGCUCAUAUUAAACAUAAGGACUAUGCUAGAUGUGCUACAAAAUCACUUUGUGACAGUCACUGAACUGGAAGAGAUUGAUAUUCUAUCAGAAUAAUGUAAGUGCUUUUUCUCCCAUGUAUUAGGUUUAGUUUGAAAGAAAGUUCAGCUUUUCAUUUCUGUUAGUCUCUAACCUCUACUAACCUCAAGCAUAUUCCAAGUCUUAUCAGUAAACUGAAAAGCCCAAAUAAUAUAUCUUUCCGCAGACAGUUGCACCAAAACAAGCUUGAUUUUGACAGUCCAUCCACCCGCCCCAUCUUCACUCAGUUUAUGGAGCUGUAGAGUAUGCUGAAUCAAGACAAGCUCUACUUCUAAGCACUGCUCAACUCUGGCUUCUGGUGGUGCAGAAGAUUGAACAUGGGAUUUUGGAGCCUCAGGCAUGAGAGUCUCUUUGCAUAACCAUUAUGCUAUCUACUCCCAACUUUUUCAGAUAGAAGCAAUGAUGGGGCAGAGAGAUACCAAAGUUUCCUCCAGGAUCAACCAAAUGCCAUAGAACUGGCAAAACACAUGUUCUUCCAGGUCAGCUAUCUCACUGGCCCUUACCACACAUUUUGUAUGUUACAUACUGUAUUCUUUCCAUAAAGUAAGCUAGAGAAAAUAAAUGUUACUAGAAAAGUCA